rnacentral:rRNA from 1 species
AUUGAACGCUGGCGGCAGGCCUAACACAUGCAAGUCGAGCGGAUGAAGGGAGCUUGCUCCUGGAUUCAGCGGCGGACGGGUGAGUAAUGCCUAGGAAUCUGCCUGGUAGUGGGGGAUAACGUCCGGAAACGGGCGCUAAUACCGCAUACGUCCUGAGGGUGAAAGUGGGGGAUCUUCGGACCUCACGCUAUCAGAUGAGCCUAGGUCGGAUUAGCUAGUUGGUGGGGUAAAGGCCUACCAAGGCGACGAUCCGUAACUGGUCUGAGAGGAUGAUCAGUCACACUGGAACUGAGACACGGUCCAGACUCCUACGGGAGGCAGCAGUGGGGAAUAUUGGACAAUGGGCGAAAGCCUGAUCCAGCCAGGCCGCGUGUGUGAAGAAGGUCUUCGGAUUGUAAAGCACUUUAAGUUGGGAGGAAGGGCAGUAAGUUAAUACCUUGCUGUUUUGACGUUACCAACAGAAUAAGCACCGGCUAACUUCGUG